rnacentral:rRNA from 1 species
GGCGGUUCGCCGCCGGCGACGUCGCGAGAAUUCCACUGAACCUUAUCAUUUAGAGGAAGGAGAAGUCGUAACAAGGUUUCCGUAGGUGAACCUGCGGAAGGAUCAUUGUCGAAACCUGCAUAGCAGAACGACCUGUGAACAUGUAACAACAAUCGGGUGUUCUAGGUAUCGGGCUCUUGUCCGGUUCCUAGGAUGCCAUGUUGACGUGCGUCUUUGGCAAGACCCUUGGGUUUUCUAAGGACGUCACGUUGACACAAUAACAAACCCCCGGCACGGCAUGUGCCAAGGAAAUAUAAACUUAAGAAGGGCUUGUUCCAUGCUUUGCCGUUCGCGGUGAUUGCGUUGAAUCUUGCUUCUUUAUAAUCAUAAACGACUCUCGGCAACGGAUAUCUCGGCUCACGCAUCGAUGAAGAACGUAGCAAAAUGCGAUACUUGGUGUGAAUUGCAGAAUCCCGUGAACCAUCGAGUUUUUGAACGCAAGUUGCGCCCGAAGCCUUUUGGCCGAGGGCACGUCUGCCUGGGCGUCACACAUCGCGUCGCCCCCCAUCACACCUCUUGACGGGGAUGUUUGAAUGGGGAGCGGAGAUUGGUCUCCCGUUUCUAAGGUGCGGUUGGCUGAAUUUUGAGUCCUCUUCGAUGGACACACGAUUAGUGGUGGUUGAAAAGACCUUCUUAUCGAGUCGUGCGAUCCUAGGAGUAAGGAAGAUCUCUUUAAUGACCCUAAUGUGUCGUCUCAUGACGAUGCUCCGACUGCGACCCCAGGUCAGGCGGGACUACCCGCUGAGUUUAAGCAUAUCAAUAAG